rnacentral:rRNA from 1 species
GAGCGAAUCCCAAAAAGUGCGUCGUAGUCCGGAUUGGAGUCUGCAACUCGACUCCAUGAAGUCGGAAUCGCUAGUAAUCGUGGAUCAGAAUGCCACGGUGAAUACGUUCCCGGGCCUUGUACACACCGCCCGUCACACCAUGGGAGUGGGCUGCAAAAGAAGUAGGUAGUUUAACCUUCGGGGGGACGCUUACCACUUUGUGGUUCAUGACUGGGGUGAAGUCGUAACAAGGUAGCGCUAGGGGAACCUGGCGCUGGAUCACCUCCUUAAACGAUGAU